rnacentral:rRNA from 1 species
AGCGAACGCUGGCGGCAGGCUUAACACAUGCAAGUCGAACGCCCCGCAAGGGGAGUGGCAGACGGGUGAGUAACACGUGGGAACGUACCCUUUGGUUCGGAAUAACUGGGGGAAACUACAGCUAAUACCGGAUAAGCCCUUAUGGGGAAAGGUUUACUGCCGAAGGAUCGGCCCGCGUCUGAUUAGCUAGUUGGUGAGGUAAUGGCUCACCAAGGCGACGAUCAGUAGCUGGUCUGAGAGGAUGAUCAGCCACACUGGGACUGAGACACGGCCCAGACUCCUACGGGAGGCAGCAGUGGGGAAUAUUGGACAAUGGGGGCAACCCUGAUCCAGCCAUGCCGCGUGAGUGAUGAAGGCCUUAGGGUUGUAAAGCUCUUUUACCCGGGACGAUAAUGACUGUACCGGGAGAAUAAGCCCCGGCUAACUUCGUGCCAGCAGCCGCGGUAA